rnacentral:misc_RNA from 1 species
GAAUCUCUUACACAGUUAAAAGCAAAUAUAUAGAACUUAAGAUCAACAGGAUUUGGACACCUCACCUUCUCAUUGCCAGAUGCAUCCACAGAUCUACAGCAAUGUAAAAGCUUUUCUAUGAGUUGUCCAAUUUCAAUCCCUUUACCAAAAGUUCCUCUGCAGAUAAAGUCUUAGAGAAUAACAGGGUCAAUGAAGGUUUCAGACAUGCAGUGAUUAUGCAAAAGGGGGAAUAUGAAAAGGGCUUGAGACCUACCAGUGUAGGACCACCUUCAAAAAAACUCUCAUGCUAAAGCUCACAGUAGGAUGGGGAUGAAAGAUAAAUUACAACAAAAGUUGGUUCUUUUUUGGCUUCCUUUUCCAGUAUUUGAGUAGAAAAUCAUGUUUCAAGUGGGAUUAAAAUCCAG